GGAACUCAGACUUAGGGAACUGCUGACCUCAGGACCACUGAGCUCUGCACCAUGCUGUCUCCAGCUCAGCUGCUUCUAACCCGCAGUGAAAGGAAAAGGAGGUGCAAGCUGGAGAGAAGAUGGCCAGACCAGGAGUCCAGGAGGAUGCUGUCCAACGGGGCCUUGGCAGCUGUGCCUGGCAGGCAGAUCGCUCACAGCAGAGAGGCUACGGCAGUGACCUGGAGCAGACUCCCAGGAAUGGCCUCCCUGCAUCUCAGUAGGGUCCUGUAGGGAUUUCCAGUAUUUCCAAAUGUAAAUGGCCCAGAAAAAGAAUGAUAAUAAAAAUAUCUUAUACUUCAAA
rnacentral:lncRNA from 1 species